GCAGCGCGGGGCAACCUGGCGGCGAGUGGCGAACGGGUGAGUAAUAUAUCGGAACGUACCCAAGAGUGGGGGAUAACGCAGCGAAAGUUGCGCUAAUACCGCAUACGAUCUAUGGAUGAAAGCAGGGGACCGCAAGGCCUUGUGCUCCUGGAGCGGCCGAUAUCUGAUUAGCUAGUUGGUGAGGUAAAGGCUCACCAAGGCGACGAUCAGUAGCUGGUCUGAGAGGACGACCAGCCACACUGGGACUGAGACACGGUCCAGACUCCUACGGGAGGCAGCAGUGGGGAAUUUUGGACAAUGGGCGCAAGCCUGAUCCAGCAAUGCCGCGUGAGUGAAGAAGGCCUUCGGGUUGUAAAGCUCUUUUGUCAGGGAAGAAACGGCUGUGGCUAAUAUCCACGGCUAAUGACGGUACCUGAAGAAUAAGCACCGGCUAACUACGUGCCAGCAGCCGCGGUAAUACGUAGGGUGCAAGCGUUAAUCGGAAUUACUGGGCGUAAAGCGUGCGCAGGCGGUUUUGUAAGUCUGACGUGAAAUCCCCGGGCUUAACCUGGGAAUUGCGUUGGAGACUGCAAGGCUAGAAUCUGGCAGAGGGGGGUAGAAUUCCACGUGUAGCAGUGAAAUGCGUAGAGAUGUGGAGGAACACCGAUGGCGAAGGCAGCCCCCUGGGUCAAGAUUGACGCUCAUGCACGAAAGCGUGGGGAGCAAACAGGAUUAGAUAUCCUGGUAGUCCACGCUCUAAACGAUGUCUACUAGUUGUCGGGUCUUAAUUGACUUGGUAACGCAGCUAACGCGUGAAGUAGACCGCCUGGGGAGUACGGUCGCAAGAUUAAA
rnacentral:rRNA from 1 species